GAGUCGGUCGGGCGGCCGCGAGGGGAGACCCCCGAGGAACGUCCGGGCUCCGCAGGGCAGGGUGAUGGCUAACGGCCACCCGGGGCGACCCGAGGGACAGUGCCGCAGAGAACAGACCGCCGCGGGCGACCGCGGUAAGGGUGAAACGGCGGGGUAAGAGCCCACCAGCGAUCCGGGCGACCGGAUCGGCUCGGCAAACCCCACCCGGAGCAAGACCGAGCAGCAGGCAGUGGACGGCCCGUCCCAGUACUGCGGGUAGGUCGCUUGAGGCCCGUGGCAACACGGGUCCUAGAGAGAUGGUCGCCGCCGUCUCACGACGGAACAGAACCCGGCGUACAGACCGACUCAU
rnacentral:RNase_P_RNA from 1 species